AUUACUCAAGAGCACAGCGAUCGGGUACACCCGACUGAGUCCAUGACCAAAAAAAGGGUAUUCUGAAAGUUUAUGAAAAAAGAUGACCAACUGAGAGACCCCAGUUCAAUUGUUCUCUAAUUGUUCUUGUUGCCAUACUGUGUGGUAGAAGCCCACAAUUGUUGCAUCAUGACAGCAAAUAAUCACUUCUUGUCUCUGGUGACUUUACUAUGAGAGGUGAGGUUGUUUUUUGCACAUCAGAGAUGUGCACUCUGGAGGUUUAACAACGUAAUUGUUCCCUGCAGAGGGAAGGGCCGAAGGACAACGAUCCCCGCCUGCAUUCGGGGAAUCAUAUUGCUCGUGGGUGGUUAGCACACUCGACUGUCAGCAAAAGCCCUUUGAAGAUCAUACUGUGUGCGGUUAUGUCUGGUGCGCAGUAUUAUGAUAGCGUUCUUUUUUUUUUUUUUGAACAGUUCAUCAGUGUUUUGGUCUAAAGCUUGUUUACAUUGGGUGAAAUUCCUGCGUUUUUUGUUGAUAAUUAUUGAGUGACAUGGACUGUAAUCUUGCUUUUUAAGAUUGCAGAAAGCACGGUUAUAUGUUACUUUUAUAAUGUACAUCUUUGGACAUGAUUAUUGAUGUAUAUUGUGAGAUAUAAGUUAGGUUUGUUAGUUUGGAGAAAAAAAAAGGAUUUCUUUCCUGUAAACAUAUAAAGGGAUCACUGCAUGCAUGUUAUACUGUCCAAUCUCUGUGUUAUCCCUUACUCUUGCUCUUCAUAUAGUCAAGGUUUUGAAUUGUGUUUCCAUUAUUUGUAUGUGUAGUUGGCGACACGCUAUUGUAUUUAACACAGUAAAUUUGAAAGCAGAAGGGUGAAAACAGGACGUAUUUGAAGCUCAUACUCAUUUGUGAGAGAAUAUGAACAUUAAAGCCUAUCCCGUUCGGUGUUUUACGCGCAAAAAGCAACGGCUGUCGGUUUAUUUUAUAACGUACACGAUCGUAAAGCGUCGCUGUUAUCAGUUCCCGCGGAAAAAAAACAAUGAUAUAACUGGGAGAACGGAUUGGAAACUGUGUUUUGCUUUAUCAGUUUCCAGCAUUCUCCCUGAGUCCAACUACUUGUUAUCAGUCUGCAUUGUGUCGCCAAUGAAAUGGCUGAUUACUGCAAUGAGGCAAUCUGUCACUCUCACUUACACAAAUGGUACACUCCCACUCUGAUUGCUGCUCCAGCGCAUUAAUGCCGGAGCAAAUGUCUCUGGCACUCAAGCCCACAAAGCCUAAUUUGAUCUGCGUGCACACUUCCACACAAAUAAACCCACUCUGGGAUUUUCAUUCUACCCAACAAUAUGCACAUUGGGGGUAUUUAUUGCCUAUCUGAGCAUAUAAUUAUGCAAUUUUAGAUGGUGUGCACCAGAAAAAGAUGACUGUGGUGUGUGUGUGUGUUUGUUAUUGUGUGAUGCUUCUCAGCUGACUUUCCUCAUUAUCUGCGUGAUGAGACUAGCAUGAAGAAGAAGCGAAAGGAGGGAUUAAAGGCCUCCUGGUAAUUAGCGAACGCAUUAAUUUGAACUACUCUGGAGUUAAAAGAUGUCCAGCGGGUGAGACAAACAAUCCCUUGGGUCACAUCCUGGCUUGAUUGGACGUCCUCCUGGCCAUCCAGAAGACGGAUUGCCUGCUGGAUUGAAUGUGCCUUUAUGGGCCCUGAACAUGAAUGUUUUAAAUAGCAGGCAGCGGCAUGUUGUAAGUGCUCGGCGCCUGAAACUUGUUUCUUGCACAUCUGUUUUGUGUGAUGCUCUCUUAUAACCGUUUCUUCUCCGCCGUUUCCCUGACACUUGAUUAAGGUCACUAAACAUUGGUGCUAAUUUUGCACCAAGUCCUUUGUUUUCUGGGAUAUCAGUGUCCAGUAAAGAUAUCUCCCGAAGUAGCGCUAAAUUUGCCUUCAGAUGCGAGGGAGACGAAAAUUUAACCCUUUCAGGGACAGCGGUUACUACAGUGGACAUCUUAUCAUGUUAUCAGGUUACUGGGUGCAUAAAAGGGUUAAAUACGCCCACUAGCCACAUUUAAUAAACCAGUACAAUCUCACGAGAUCCAUUGCAGGAGUAUAAAUUGGGAUUUAUAAUUAUAUUCCCUCACUGACAAAUACAUAUUCAUUCAGUCAUGCUUUUACCGUGGUUGUAAUUUCCAUUGGUUUAAACAUUCACUGCGAGCUAUGUUAUGUAAUCACCGCUAAAUAAUGGAUGCAGAUGUUAGCUUCGUGUUCUGUGAUUGCCACAAUCAGGAUUGUUUAUUGAUUGAUGAUGGCAAAUGCUGACGAGUCACGGAAAUAUCAGGGAUAAACACGGUCGCAUUGUAAGGACCCAUCCCGAAUUAAUUCCUCUCACAGCAUAGGUUGUUUUUCUGACACGUCUGUUUUUAACGCCGUGGUUGAUUUGCAGUGUAACAUCCAAGAAAAUUAGUCUGGGAACGCGGAUGCUUGUUCUUGAAGUUAAACAUUCAUGUUCGCUAUUUACGGGGUUUCCCAAAAGGCAAGUGCAAAAUUGCUGCCCAGCAAGAGCUUUUUUUUUUUUUCUUUUUCUGACUGCAGUUCAGCACCACUACGAGAAGCUUUUUAGUCGUGCACACUGCUUCAACCCGAAGUACAAUUGACUUCAGGUUUUGCCCCCAAGACAUACGCGGCACAGCCAAGUGAAUCACAUGGACACAUAUCUGACAGUGUGCAAAUCAGGUAAGCAAUCAGAAGGCCAUGUGCAAUUGAUUCCAUCCAUCCAUUUUCUAUACCACUUAUUAGGGUAGUAGCGGGUGAGGUGGAGUCCAGCCCAGCUGAAUUUGACCAUUCGCAUUCACAUAUACAGUACUCUAAGAACAACUAAGAAUCUUCUUUGAACCUAAGCUAACAUGCAUGUUUUGGGAAGAAAGCAUGGGUAGAAUAUGUCAACUCCACACAAGAAGCCCGAAGCUCUGAUUCGAACUGCCGUGCUCGAAACUGUGAGGUAAAUGCACGAAACGAUUUCAGCAGAAAGCAGUGAAGCAGGAUGGUGACCCAUGAUUGAAAAGGACAAACAUCCAAACACAGAAAUACAAACUGAAACCACUCGCAAGAUGCAUGGAGCAGAUGUGGGAAAAUGUCUCUUGGACAUUGUGCUGUUUUGUUUGAUGUGAGGACAAGCAGUUUGUAAACUGGAUGGAUGGGUGGAAAAAAGUGGUGUUUUUUUCAGUCUUGAGCGGAUUAAUGACUUUUCAAUUCCUUUUAAUGGCGUAAAAUGUAUUUGUUAUACAAUUAAGUUUUAGUCUUUGCACGGCGCAAAGAACAGCAAAGGCGAACCAUUUGUUAUCCAUGUUUGUUUAUUAUGUCAACCGACACUCUGUCGAGCGUUAGCGAGAAUUUGAUUAAUUUAAUUAGCAUCACUUGGUUUGACGAAUCAUGUUAGUCUGUGAUCACUUUAAUUAGGCAGAGUCGUUCAUUUGUGUUGUCAGUCUUUCGGUCGCCAUUAAAAUAUCUUCUCAAA